UACGUAGGGUGCGAGCGUUGUCCGGAAUGAUUGGGCGUAAAGCGUCCGCAGGUGGCGAUGUAAGUCUGCUGUUAAAGAGUGAGGCUCAACCUCAUAAGAGCAGUGGAAACUACAUAGCUAGAGUACGUUCGGGGCAGAGGGAAUUCUGGUGUAGCGGUGAAAUGCGUAGAGAUCAGGAAGAACACCAGUGGCGAAGGCGCUCUGCUAGGCCGUAACUGACACUGAGGGACGAAAGCUAGGGGAGCGAAUGGG
rnacentral:rRNA from 1 species